rnacentral:rRNA from 1 species
GUCUACAGCCAUGCCACCCUGAACAUGCCAGAUCUUGUCUGAUCUUGGAAGCUAAGCUAGGUCGGGCCUGGUUUGUACUUGGAUGGGAGAUCACCUAGGAAUAGCAGGUGCUGCAGGCA